ACUCCUACGGGAGGCAGCAGUCGGGAAUUUUGCGCAAUGGACGAAAGUCUGACGCAGCAACGCCGCGUGAGGGAUGAAGGCCUUCGGGUUGUAAACCACUUUUAUCAGGGAAGAUGAUGACGGUACCUGAUGAAUAAGUCACGGCUAACUACGUGCCAGCAGCCGCGGUAAU
rnacentral:rRNA from 1 species